AGAUGUGGUGGCACACACCUGUAGUCCCAAGUACUUGGGAGGCGAGCAGGAGAUCGCUUGAGUCUGUACAGGAGUUCCAGGCACAGUGCACUAUGCCGGUUGGGUGUCUGCACUAAGUUUGGCAUUAGUAUGGUGACCUCCGGGGAAUGGGGACCACCAGGUUGCCUAAGGAGGGAGAAUUGGCCCAGUCAGAAACAGAGCAGGUCAAAAUUCCCUUGCUGACCACACCUGUGAAAGGCCACUGCACUCCAGCCUGACCAACACAGCGAGACCCACCUUU
rnacentral:SRP_RNA from 1 species